UGCGUAGGCGGCUUUGCAAGUCAGAUGUGAAAUCUAUGGGCUCAACCCAUAGCCUGCAUUUGAAACUGCAGAGCUUGAGUGAAGUAGAGGCAGGCGGAAUUCCCCGUGUAGCGGUGAAAUGCGUAGAGAUGGGGAGGAACACCAGUGGCGAAGGCGGCCUGCUGGGCUUUAACUGACGCUGAGGCACGGAAAGCGUUGGGUAGCAAAACGA
rnacentral:rRNA from 1 species